GGAGCUGCAGCCCUGCUCUUCUCGGAGGCCGGCUCCAGCGCUGGGAUUUGCUCGGCUCCGGCUGCGUUUCCCUGCCCGCCUCCUGCCCCCGGCCCGCCCGCCUGGAGGGGCUCGGGGAGCCGCAGCCAGGGCUGCGCCCAUCACCGCGCCUCGGGGCUGCCGCUGCCGGGCGCCCGCAGCCGCCGCCGGAGCAGCUCCACCCAUGAUCGGUGCAUAAAUCCACCUUCAGCACAGGAUGUUGGAAAAUUACCGAGGGACAGCAACGUCCUCCCGGCUGCUUGGUGAGAAGGGAAGGAUGCACCUCCAGUUCACGUGCUGGGUGUGGUGACCGUCUUGCAGGACCCCGAUGCUGUGCCCAGUGUGCCUCCAGCCCCGACAGACAACAGCUAGGAGACGUUCAUGACUUCAGCAGGAGCCAGCAGUGACGCCUGGGCACAAAGGUAGUGCCAGCGAAAGGCGUGCAGGUCCACGGGCUCGAGCCAGCGUGGAGGGGAGGAAGGGUUGUGCUGGAGGUUCAUGGGCACCUCUGAGGGCCAGAUGGGCUGGCGAGGAUGCAGUUACUGCUGCGAGGGCAGGACAGAUGAACAGGCUGGCCUGGGGACAGUCAUUUGAAAGCACCUGCAAGUCUACAGCUCCUAAGACCCACUUUCAGCAAUGACUUUUAGCCAAUUAGGAGCCUAAGCAUCACCAAAGAUAAGCAGAGCUUAGGUGCUCAGGUCCUUCCGGGCAGCCACAAAAAUCCCAGCGAUGCAGACAGACAGACAGCAGCGCGCGUCCUGCUGGAGCCAGACCCAGAGCCAGGCAAUGAAUUACAAAUAUGAGUGCCAAAACAGCAGGCUUGGGACACAAAGGAUAAAAGACAGUUGUGUUAUUUGAGCUGAUAAGCCGCGUUUGCAUCAAAGGCUCCUGCAGAGUUUUCACAAUUGAGUGUUAUACCAUCCAGCGCUGAGCUACCAAAGACAUAAAAUGGGACUCGCAGAGAAAGCUUUGUGCCUGCCACAGCGCAGCAGAAUAAGAGUUUGUUUUGAAAACUGUUGGGCUGAAUAAUUAGGGAUUGGUCUCCGUGGACGCGGUGAGAUAUUGCUCCUGCAGAACAGUGAUUGCAGCUACUGGUCUCAGCUCCCUGCCUCCUUCCUCCUUCUUCUCCCAGUCUCUGCAAGGCCUUGGUCAAAUGCUGCCAAGCCAGCAUGAGCAGUGUUCCCCCCUUCCUUGGCAGUUAUCGUCCCUUGUCUUCCUUUCUCAGAAGACUUUUCACAAGCAAUAGGCUAUUUUCAAGGGUUGCAAGCAUUCAUCUCAAUGUACAAGAUCUGGAGAGAUAAUUUACUUUAUUAGCCCAAAUGAAAGGAGUCUAUGCAGGUAGCCUGUGCAGUAUUGUCCAGGGGGUCAGAGGGAUAGAGACAAGAGUCCUCUGAGGCUGCCACUGAGUUUCUUGCAGAAGCAGACAAGUAGGUGCUGCUGUUUUGUCUGGCUCUGUUCUGCUGCACGUCAGUAGGCUCCCUUUCAAACAGCCAGUGCUGAGAUCCUCAGCACGAGAACAUCACUGGUCUCACCACAGAGGCUGAAGAGCAGCAGGACCUGUAGGAAAGCAGAGUACCUUCAGUGAGAAGAAGCAGGCAAGCUCAGAGGUGGCUGUGCUCAUGGCUCUGGGCUGCUCAUUUGGGGAGCAGGUGCCCAGGAGGGGUCUGGAGACGGGGCCAACCCGUGCCUGACAUGGGCAGCUGGUGGCACCCGAUGUCACGGACCCUUCUCCAAGCAGCUUCACGCAACGAGCAGAUGACUGAAAACCAUCUCCUGGGCAAUCCACUUCAUUCAUCAAUUAAAUUGUUUGCUGUGAACAGUUUGGCCCCAUCCAGCUCCAGGAUUUCAGCCUUGUAAUUUUGCUGGCAGGGGACGCCGGCGCCAUGUCCGCGAAAUCUGCCUGCCAACUGCUUCCCCUGCUAAGUGUUUUCUAGGCUAACGAUCCCGAAAAUCUUGCCAGCAGCCCCAGCUCUGUCCCUUUCGGGGCAAGCCGCUCAUUUAAACGUGAGCACCUCUAAAUGACUCCAUCUGCUAAGUGACGUUAGGAAAGAAAAGAUUAUAGCAGGAGUUAUUGCCGCAUCCUCGGGUCGUAACCCUGCUAUAAAAUGGGCUGGAGGAACAAGGGGACCGUGAGGAGCCGGCAGAGGCUCAGAACCACCUGGGUGACUGUCAGCUUGAUUUAUUUUCUUGCUCAUUAGAUAAAUUAGAAAACUGGCAAAAGAAAGCAUUGUCCUCUCCCAGCUGCUUGGGAAUCUGCCACGUGGUGCACGGCGCCAGGCGCGGGGACAUGCGGCUCCUUCCCAGCUCCCCAUCCCCGCUCACCGUGCCCCAGGGGUGCUGGGCCAGCAGGGCAGGGACAUGGCCAGGGCCUGGGGCUGAUGGUGCCACAGCUCUCCUUGGGGGUCCUCUCAUCCUAACCCAGCUCAGUGAUCCCCUGGCAGACCACAGGCAAUCACUAGGGCUUUGCUUUUCUAUAAGAGUGCUGAUUUUUAAUUUUUUUUUUUUUAUUGGUGAAAACAGUGGUGACAAUAUUGCUUUUGCGUAACAGCUUUGACUUCUGAACCAUUUGUUACCCUCACCAGUCAGACACACUAAAGCAAAAUACCCCAGGUUGGGGAAGCUUCUCCAGACAGGACCUGCUGCCCUUCAGAGAUGCCAUCAAUGUUUUGGUCCUUAGUAUUUGGGCGAGUUGUGAUCCAUCUGCCUCCAGCAGCCGCUCCUCUUGCUUAUCAACUGGACCAAAUUUUGUGCACCAGAAGGAUGGAGCUUAACAGUCAGACCUGCUUAAAAUCCACAGGUAAAAUUCAGUAGCCGGGAGGUCAGACUGCAGUCACGGUGCCACCUAACCUAAAAACUCAAUGAAAUCUUCAGCCUGCAUAACCACACUUUAAAUUUGGAUCAUUUAUGCCAUCCACGCCGCAGACAAAGUAUGCUCAGCUGCUUCCAAUGCACUUCUGUAGUACGAAAUGAGGCCGCUGAUGUACACUCGGUAUUUACACAGAGGAAGAGCUUCCAGCCAGGAUGAGCCAUUGCAGACUGCAACACAUUUCUCAGCCAACGUGGAGGAAUCCCUGCUGCCAACAGAGGCUGAAGCCGAGGGAGAAACAGGGCAGGGGCCUCGGGGAUGGAGGGACAGGGGCAGGGCACUGGGGUCCCCUGCUUCCCACCCUGCUUCUCCUGCCCACAGGACUUCUGUAUGGGGCACUUGUCACCUUGUGAUGAGGCAAGCAUCGGGAUAUGUGUGUCCCAUGAGAUGUGCAAGUGCUGUGAGGGGGCAUGGGGUGGAGGAGAUAGGGCUAAUUCCUUCCUGAGACUCACAAGGAAUCGGCUUAUGGCCCGAAGCUCCGAUUACUCUUAUCUGAGCCUCUGUGAGGGUAACCACACAUACAUCCUAAAAUUACCCGGAUUUUUUGCAAAAUCUGGGGGCUGGCCUGGACUCACCUGACCCCGAGGAGCAGGGGGAAGAGGUCUGAAGCCCCACAUGUGCCAGAUGGGCAACAUCUCACUGUGCUGCCCAGCCCCACCUGCCCAGCCCGAAGGAGCCUUGCGCAGAGCAGCACCAUCAGCCCCUUCCCAGCACCAGGCAGACUCUCCUGCUGGGAUGCUGGCAGCUAAUGUGCCUCUGGAACCACCGGUGAAGGGUAAACACUGCCAAAUACAACACCAAGGGAGAUGUUGGACUGGUGGGAUUAAACCGUGACUCCCACCUACCGCCCUCCCCAUCUCCCACCCCACCUGGAAAUUAAAGCGGGGAAGUAAAAGCCCUUCUCCCCCCUCCUGCAGUGCCUCUCAGCCACUGACAUUAACACUGGAAAGCCUGACAUUAGCUCUGAAUGGAUUUUAAUAACCCCCUUGUGAGCCUGAAUUACCCACACAGCGUGAAGUCCUGCAUGCUCUUGGAGGCUUGGCCAGGAGCAGUGCACGGGGGGGCUGGAUCCGUGCUCCAGGCUGGGGACACGGUGCUGGAGCCACCCGAGGGGCUGAAUUCACUUCUGUCAGUGCUGCUUGGAGAACCACUCCUUGGGCACCCACUGCCUGCAAUUUUCUGGCCACCAGCAGGCCUGCAAGGGGACUGGGGCUGCUGGGCCAGCCCGUGGUGGCAUCUCCAUCGCCACCUCCAUGGGAUGCUUUCCCCUGGGGGACAGGCCGUAGGCUGUCACAGAGAGAUGGGAUGCUGCGCGUGAGGGCAGCCCCAGCCCCUUCCAGCAAGUGGCAUAAAACUUGUGCCUUGUGUGCGCUGUGGGUGGGGUGCAAAAUGAGAUCAUGCCUGGCCCGGCUGAGACUCCGGACAAGCGCAUGAAAAUCUGGCAAGAAGAUUAAAAGGUGUCCCCAGGCAGAAGAGGGUAUUUAUUGCUUUAUUUGUGGCUGAGAUGCAUGUGGCAUGGGAGUCACAGGGCCGGUGACCUCCCCAGAGCACCUGCACGUGGGCAGCGCUGUGUCCCCACGGGGGCUGAUCCUGGGGACACGACAGUGGCCAGAAAAGCCUCUUCCGAGCUGCAUGACACCGCUGAUUUCCCCUCCCACGGGCUGUAGGGCAGACAUUGCCCAGCACCAUCGCUGCCAGCCCUGCAGCUGCUCUGCUAAGGGCACAGCCACGUUUUCCUCGUCUUUAACGAGCGAAAACGGAGAAAGAUUUCCAGAUGCUUCUCACUUCUAGAAAAUGAAGGGCUUGGAAAUGUGCUCUGAAGUCACUUUUCCCCUCAUAAGUCCCCGAGAUCUGACCAAGAAAUACAGCCCCCUUGGUCAGUCACAAAAUCUCAGUGUAUUUUGGGUGAAGAAUGAUGUUUUCUGACUGCUAUCAAAAUCCACACGUAUUUUCAUCAUGGGAACAAGAAUAUCCACACGGAUAUGGGCAUCAAACCACGGGCAGCUUUUCCAAGUCAGGCUCAAUUGGAGAUGAGACAUCAUCAGACACUUUAAAGUAUUUAGGACCAAAACCAACCCCUUUAAAAAGUCUGUGGUAAUGACUGAAUUAUAUUUAAGAGGCUCAUUCCUACUAAGUAAAUGCAAAUAGUUUACAUGGAAAACAUUUCCCAUUAAGCUCGUUUAUACAUAAAAUGCUAACAGAUUGAGAUUAUGACUCUAAUGAUUAUUUUUAUUGCCGGUUUGCAUUUAAAUGGCAUAAAUUUCCCCCUACUGUUCUCUCUUUGGGUUAAAUCAAUGAAACCUAUUAAGAAGGUUAGUCUUCCUCCAAGAUUCCUCCCUCUCUUCUUUCUGUCUCAUCUCCACUGGUGCCCUUUCCAUCCACCCACCAGCAGAGAUUUUGCAGAGCUGCCUCCACGACAUCGGUGCCGAGGAUUUGAAAAUCCCCUUUGGCGGAGCAGAGUGAGGCUGGUCCUUGCCGAGACGGGGAAUUACA